UAGGGGUGGGGGAAUUCAGGGGUGU
rnacentral:miRNA from 1 species